CUUUCUCUCUCUCUCCCUGCUGCUCUGUUCCUGUGCUACUGAGAGUGUAACUACCGCCCCUCCCCCCUCUGCCCAGCGCAAAGCACAAGCUGCUAAAUGUUACCAUUGUAUUAGUUAUAUAAACCUUGUUAAAACAUUCCUUCCGCCUUCACUCUGGGUUACUGCUCUUGGGUUCAUUUCAAGUUUCUGGCCUCCGGGCCCCUGUGACAGUAAUACUUAGUACAUGAUGGGAAUCCCCCAGCAGCCUACACCUACUGCACCAUAACUAAUGGACAAUUUAGGGAAUUUCAUCUCUCAUCAAAGAAGCUUCUUGAGUCCUAAGAGCAAUUGGUGAGCAGUCACAGAUUUUAAGCCCUUUGGGAUUUGCCCCAAAAGGGACACUCCCACACUCCGCUACUGAUUCUCUACAUAAUCACAUGAGCCAAUGUGUUAAAACAGAUGUAGGUCACAAUCAGCCAAGGUUUUGGGUGAAUCCAUUGUGAAAGCUAACCCCACCCUAUCAUGUGAUACUUUGGUCAAAUGGCCAAGGAUGUGAAUGGGCAUUAAGGCGUCUGGGAAGGGAUCUCAAAACUGGAUUAUAGAUGGCAGACAGCUGAAUGUUGGAAUCAUUUUGGACAGAGAAGACAGAUGGUUUAAAAGACUAGUGAAAGAAGUCAUCUAUGUCCACUGUUAACGACCAUGUUUGAACAGAGGCGGUGGCUUAUGACACCGACUGUCUGUUGUGUAGCUGUUUUCAAAUACAUUGAUAUUUAUUUACUCUUUUUCUUCAACUCUCUUGUAAUUGCUUCUUCCAAACCAUCAAUAUGUAUUUUAGACCCCAUUCCAACAAGACUGCUCAAAGAAGUCCUACCAUUAAUUAAUUUCAAUUUUAAAUAUUAUCAAUCUAUCUCUAUUAAUAGGUGACAUACAUGGCUAACCUGCCAUUUACGGGUAUUUCAAGAUCAUGCUAAAGAACCUCAGUAAAGGUUGCCAGCAGUAAGCAGAAUUCAAGGUUCCAUUAAUCAUGACAAGUUAUCCAGGUCCCGAAACACUUCUCUUCUCUUGGCUUAUCUUUCUCCCUCUUCCUUAUCUUUCCUGCUUGGCUUCUCAUGUCUUGUAUAGUCUUGCUUAUUCUCUAACCCUAAGAGACUCUCCCACACUUGUUCUCUAAAACCAAAAGAAGAAUUAUUCCGAUUGUCCUGUGAAGACGUUUCCUGCCGGAUACUCUAUGGUCGGUUGUGUCAUGUGUCUGGCGACACUCUCGAUGGAGGACAUUGAACGAUGAGACCUGAUGACCAGUGACGGACAUUAGACUACUGUAAAAUUGGAUGCAGUUUGUUCACACUAACCAAAACAACUACCAUCUUCAUCUCAUGCGGCCCCCCUGGCACCAGCUGGAUGCUCAAGGCAAAAGCUGACAGGAAUAACAAUUCUCCCCUAGAUAAUAAGACUAUUUGUUGUGACUCUCUCUCCCCUCAUUCAAGGCCACCCGCGUCGACCGAAGAUUGCUGACUUUUGCCUAACUGGGUGAAGGGAGUCACUUACUUUUUAAAAUACCUUUUAAAAUAGGGCCAGGCAGGUUUGGAUAGCUUUUUUAAAAAAAAACCUUAAUAAAUGUAUUGAUUAAAAAACUGCAAUGUGCAUUUUCUCAAGUUAAUUUUAUCUAAUAUUAAAAUAUGAGUAGUUCUUUAAAGCCAGAUUUACAAGUGGCUCAUAUAUGUACUAACCUUUCUCUUUCCACUAUCCCUUCAGACAGUCUUUAUAGAAGCUGUAGCUACAUAAAAGAACAAUGGGAAUACUGAAGACCUCCUGACAUACCGGACAGCAGAGAUCCUCCUCUGAUCUGGAAGCCAUUGAGUCUUAACUCUCCAGAUGCAAACCUUCCCCAGAAAAGCUUCAUUCGGAGGCAGGACUUCUAGACAGUUUUCUCAGCCGUGGCUUUGCUCGCCCUAUGUGCCUGCCUGCCUCCCUGGCUCAGCUUCUGGAGUUCUGGAUUCCUCCCCACUCACUCGGACAAUUCUCCCCUCCAUGCUACUCCUCCACCUGCAGCAAGGAAUCCCCUUGAACCAGCCAUCCAGUAUGUCUACACCCUUUUUGGCCACAAAGUCAUAGAACUGUCAUUUUCACUGUCCAAGUUUCUCUGAUUGCUUUCAUAGCUCAGGUUGCAUAUGUACUUCACAGUUUUGCAUUAUUCAUAGUUUAUGUUCAUUCCCACAGUUCACAGUUUACUUGUCUUGUACAUUCACUUGUUUCUCUAAAUAAAUUUGGUUACUAAACGUUUAA